AGGUGCUGGAAAACCGGGUUCUACGA
rnacentral:piRNA from 1 species